rnacentral:tRNA from 1 species
GGAUCUGGGGCUCAGUGGUAGAGUGCUUGUCUGGAAUAUAAAGGCCCUGGGUUCCAACCCCAGCACUGCCA